rnacentral:rRNA from 1 species
GACGAACGCUGGCGGCGUGCUUAACACAUGCAAGUCGAACGGAAAGGCCCUGCUUUUGUGUGGUGCUCGAGUGGCGAACGGGUGAGUAACACGGGAGUCACCUGCCCUUUACGUGGGGAUAACUUCAGGAAACUGGUGCUAAUACCUGAUAGGUGCUCCUGCUGCAUGGUGGGGGUUGGAAAGUUUGGGCUGUUGUGGAUGGACUCGCGGCUUAUCAGCUUGUUGGUUGGGGAGUGGCUAACGAAGGCUUUGAAGGAUAGGCGGCAUGAGAGGGUGACCGGGCACAUUGGGACUGCGAGACGGAGCAGACUCGUACGGGAGGCAGCAGUGGGGAAUAUUGUCCAAUGGGCGGGCGCCUGAUGAAGAAAUCCCGCGUGCGGGAUGCAGGCCUUCGGGUUGUAAACCGCUUUAGCCUGUGACGAAGCGUGAGUGACGGUAAUGGGUAAAGAAGCACCGGCUAACUACGUG